rnacentral:rRNA from 2 species
GUCCAUGGCCAAACUACCCUGAAUGAGCCUGAUCUCGUGAAGCUAAGCAGGGUCGGGCGUGGUUAGUAUUUGGAUGGGAGACCGCCUGGGAAUAGCAGGUGCUGCAGGCU